rnacentral:rRNA from 1 species
AUAAUUAAAAUCUUACUUAGUAUAUAUUUUGAUUUUUUGAGAAGCAUCUUUAUUUUUAGUAUACUAAAGAAAAAUUUUUAUUGUUAUAGUUUAUUAUUACUGUGAAGGAAUAGAUGAAAUAAAUUAAAACUUAAUUUUUUACAAGUAUGUUUAUUUUGCAGUACCUUUUGUAUCAGGGUUGAUUAAAUAUAUGAAAUUAUUAUUUUAUGUCUCGAUCUUGGAAGAGCUAAUUUAUUAUUUUAGUUAAUGUGUUAUAAUUAUUAAAAAUAUAAUUUAGAGGAGAAAUUUUAAUCGGUUCCAAUGGUAUCUAGUUUUUUAAGAAAUAAAUUUAAUUUAUUUUUAUUAAUUAAAAAUUAUAUUUUUGUAAAUUUUAUUUAAUAAAGUAAAAUUUUUAGGGGAUAAGCUCUAAAUAUUUCUAUAAAUAAUAAUUAAUUUAAAUUUUGUAGGUUUAAAAUUAUCCAUCAUUAAAAAAUGUGUUAUAACUUAUUUUUGUUAUUAAUUAAUUUAUUUUAAUUUUAGUACUCUAUUAAAAUAAUAAAAUUAAUAAUUAAUUUUAUGGGAAAAUGAUUAAAUUAGUAUAAUAAUAUGUAUUUAAUUUUGCUUAUAAAAUGAUGAUUUAAGGAAUUCGGCAAAUAUAGUUCUCGCCUGUUUAACAAAAACAUGUCCUUUUGAAUUUUAUAUAAGGUCUGACCUGCCCAGUGAUUAUAUUCAACGGCCGCGGUAUACUGACCGUGCAAAGGUAGCAUAAUCAUUAGUCUUUUAAUAGAGGGCUGGAAUGAAAGGUUUUACGAGGAACUGGCUGUCUCAUUUCAUUUGUUUUAAAAUUUAAUUUUUUAGUCAAAAAGCUAAAAUUGUAUUGGAAGACGAGAAGACCCUAUAGAUCUUUAUAUAUUUUUAUUUAAAAUUUAUUAUAUUAAUACUUUUACUUAAAUGUAUAUUUUGUUGGGGUGACAAAAAUACAUAAAUAACUUUUUUAUAUUUAUAACAUUAAUUUAUGAGUACUAGAUCCAUUUAUAGUGAUUACUAGAAUAAGUUACCUUAGGGAUAACAGCGUAAUCCUCCUCCAGAGUUCAUAUUUACAGGAGGGCUUGCGACCUCGAUGUUGGAUUAAGAUAAUAAUUAGGUGUAGCCGCUUAAUAUAUAGGUCUGUUCGACCUUUAAC